GCAAUCUACCUUUUGCAGAGGGAUAGCCCAGAGAAAUUUGGAUUAAUACCUCAUAGUAUGCAGAGUUGGCAUCAACACUGCAUUAAAGUCACAACGGUGAAAGAUGAGCAUGCGUCCCAUUAGCUUGUUGGUAAGGUAACGGCUUACCAAGGCAACGAUGGGUAGGGGUCCUGAGAGGGAGAUCC
rnacentral:rRNA from 1 species